GACGAACGCUGGCGGCGUGCCUAAUACAUGCAAGUAGAACGCUGAAGAGAGGAGCUUGCUCUUCUUGGAUGAGUUGCGAACGGGUGAGUAACGCGUAGGUAACCUGCCUUGUAGCGGGGGAUAACUAUUGGAAACGAUAGCUAAUACCGCAUAACAAUGGAUGACACAUGUCAUUUAUUUGAAAGGGGCAAUUGCUCCACUACAAGAUGGACCUGCGUUGUAUUAGCUAGUAGGUGAGGUAAUGGCUCACCUAGGCGACGAUACAUAGCCGACCUGAGAGGGUGAUCGGCCACACUGGGACUGAGACACGGCCCAGACUCCUACGGGAGGCAGCAGUAGGGAAGCUUCGGCAAUGGGGGCAACCCUGACCGAGCAACGCCGCGUGAGUGAAGAAGGGUUUCGGAUCGUAAAGCUCUGUUGUAAGUCAAGAACGGGUGUGAGAGUGGAAAGUUCACACUGUGACGGUAGCUUACCAGAAAGGGACGGCUAACUACGUG
rnacentral:rRNA from 1 species